UACAGAGGCCUCAAGCGUUGUUCGGAUUCAUUGGGCGUAAAGGGUGCGUAGGUGGCAUGGUAAGUUGAAGGUGAAAUCUCGGAGCUCAACUCCGAAACUGCCUUCAAUACUGCUGUGCUCGAGGACUGUAGAGGAGAAUGGAAUUCACGGUGUAGCAGUGAAAUGCGUAGAUAUCGUGAGGAAGACCAGUGGCGAAGGCGAUUCUCUGGGCAGUUCCUGACACUGAGGCACGAAGGCUAGGGGAGCAAACGGG
rnacentral:rRNA from 1 species